rnacentral:tRNA from 1 species
AGCGGGGUGGAGCAGUUGGCAGCUCGUCGGGCCCAUAACCCGAAGGUCACAGGUUCAAGUCCUGUCCCCGCAACCA